AGUGAACGCUGGCGGUAGGCCUAACACAUGCAAGUCGAACGGCAGCACAGUAAGAGCUUGCUCUUACGGGUGGCGAGUGGCGGACGGGUGAGGAAUACAUCGGAAUCUACUUUUUCGUGGGGGAUAACGUAGGGAAACUUACGCUAAUACCGCAUACUACCUACGGGUGAAAGCAGGGGAUCUUCGGACCUUGCGCGAUUGAAUGAGCCGAUGUCGGAUUAGCUAGUUGGCGGGGUAAAGGCCCACCAAGGCGACGAUCCGUAGCUGGUCUGAGAGGAUGAUCAGCAACACUGGAACUGAGACACGGUCCAGACUCCUACGGGAGGCAGCAGUGGGGAAUAUUGGAAAAUGGGCGCAAGCCUGAACAAGCCAUACCGCGUGGGUGAAGAAGGCCUUCGGGUUGUAAAGCCCUUUUGUUGGGAAAGAAAAGCAGCAGGUUAAUACCCCGCUGUUCUGACGGUACCCAAAGAAUAAGCACCGGCUAACUUCGUG
rnacentral:rRNA from 1 species